UACGUAGGGUCCGAGCGUUGUCCGGAUUUACUGGGCGUAAAGCGCGCGCAGGCGGCGGUGCUGGCCCGGCGUGAAAGCCCCCGGCUCAACCGGGGAGAGUCGUCGGGGACCGCACCGCUUGAGGGCGGUAGGGGCUGGUGGAAUGCCUGGUGUAGUGGUGAAAUGCGUAGAGAUCAGGCAGAACACCUGGGGCGAAGGCGGCCAGCUGGGCCGUCCCUGACGCUGAGGCGCGAAGGCGUGGGGAGCGAACGGG
rnacentral:rRNA from 1 species